CUAUGCGCCUUGCCAGCCCGCUCAGUCAGAGUUUGAUCCUGGCUCAGAAUGAACGCUGGCGGCAGGCCUAACACAUGCAAGUCGAACGGAGUUAUAUUGUAGCUUGCUAUGGUAUAACUUAGUGGCAGACGGGUGAGUAAUGUAUAGGAAUCUACCUAGUAGUACGGAAUAAUUGUUGGAAACGGCAACUAAUACCGUAUACGCCCUACGGGGGAAAAAUUUAUUGCUAUUAGAUGAGCCUAUAUUAGAUUAGCUAGUUGGUGGAGUAAUAGCCUACCAAGGCAAUGAUCUAUAGCUGAUCUGAGAGGACGAUCAGCCACACUUGAACUGAGAUACGAUUCAG
rnacentral:rRNA from 1 species